rnacentral:misc_RNA from 1 species
GAAUCCGACGGUAAGAAAUUAUUCCACGCGGCAUGGCUUCAUAAUGUAUGUAAAAAGAAAGAAGGUGCAUUACAUGCGUGUGCGGGCGCAUGUGGUGCAAUAUUAGGCGGCGGAAGUGAGGAAGAAAUAGAAAAAUUGAGAAGAUACGGUUUAUAUGUAGGCAUGAUACAAGGAAUAUUUAAUAGAUUUGAAAGAAACGAGUGGUCAUGGAAGGAGGUGAAUGAGCUAAGAGAGUUGGCCCUUAAAGAAUUGAAAGAUUUCAAUCAAGCAAAGGUUAAAACUAUUUCUAGGCUUGUUGAGACCAAGUUAUGUAAUGUGUAGAGCCUAAGGUGUUGUUGGUGCUAUGCAAGGACCAAC